rnacentral:rRNA from 1 species
AGUGGGGAAUAUUGGGCAAUGGGCGAGAGCCUGACCCAGCGACGCCGCGUGAGGGAUGACAGCCUUCGGGUUGUAAACCUCUGUUGUAUGGGAAGAAGGAAGUGACGGUACCAUACGAGGAAGCUCCGGCUAACUACGUGCCAGCAGCCGCGGUAAUACGUAGGGAGCGAGCGUUGUCCGGAAUUACUGGGCGUAAAGGGCACGCAGGCGGUCAUAUAAGUCAGCUGUUAAAUGUAUGGGCUUAACCGAUGCAUGCGGUUGAAACUGUAUGACUGGAGUACUGGAGAGGUAAGCGGAAUUCCCGGUGUAGCGGUGAAAUGCGUAGAUAUCGGGAAGAACACCAGUGGCGAAGGCGGCUUACUGGCCAGUUACUGACGCUGAGGUGCGAAAGCCAGGGGAGCGAACCGGAUUAGAUACCCGGGUAGUCCUGGCCGUAAACGAUGAAUGCUAGGUGUGGGUAUAGCGAUAUAUCCGUGCCGGAGUUAACGCGAUAAGCAUUCCGCCUGGGGAGUACGGUCGCAAGAUUG